rnacentral:lncRNA from 13 species
GUGAAGAACCAUCUAUCACACUGAGUAAUUUGUGAUUACUGCUACAUUAGAAAAACCUUAAAAUAAUGUUUCCCUAUUCCUGCUGCAGUAAGAGGGAUGGCUCAGUGCCCACACAACCUGGAAGUGCAAGACAAUUGAAAUUCUGUGCCUGUAACUUAGAGUAAUGGAAGUCAAUGGAGAAUGACAAGGGCUAACAUCAACCAAGAUGAACAUAUCUCAUGCACAAAUGAAAGAGAAAGAAAAUGGCUACCUUUAUUAGCAAAUCAAUACCACAAUGACGUAUCAUUCUGCACCUAUUGGAUCAGCACAGUUAAAAUAAAAUUACAAUAAAAAGUGUUGAAGAGGAUGUGGAUUCCCAACAUUUUUUUCUGGUGGACCUU